UAAUUACACUGGCCUGUAGGCCAAGUGUCUUAAAUCCCUCUUUUUCUGUUUUUUCCUGUGUUUUCCUGUUUUUUUCGUAGUCGAGAAAUCGAGUUUGCGUUAGCUCAUCGCAGGCUCAGGGUGCAACGACUAAGCCAAAAUGCCAUCGAUCCCCUCGGUUCCAUGAUUUACAUAGUAUAGUAAUAAGUCCGUAUUUAUGUACGUAAUAGCCGACUCAUGCCAUGCUUGUGGUGCAUUUUUCGUUUAUUAGCCCAUACACUUGUACGCACGCGCACAAUUCCGAACCCCAAUGGCGGCUUUUCACAGAGUGAUCAAACUAUAUUUUACACAGUUUCGUUGAAUUUUCAAAGAAUUGUGCCAGUUUCCUAUGGAUUUUACGUUGUGUCGUACUCUGG